rnacentral:rRNA from 1 species
UGCGUAGGCGGGACUAUUAAGUCAGUGGUGAAAUCCUGCAGCUUAACUGCAGAACUGCCAUUGAUACUGAUAGCCUUGAGUUUGGUUAAGGUAGGCGGAAUGUGUAAUGUAGCGGUGAAAUGCUUAGAUAUUACACAGAACACCAAUUGCGUAGGCAGCUUACUGAGCCGACACUGACGCUGAGGCACGAAAGCGUGGGGAUCGAACA